ACGGGUGAGUAAUGCCUAGGAAUCUGCCUGGUAGUGGGGGAUAACGCUCGGAAACGGACGCUAAUACCGCAUACGUCCUACGGGAGAAAGCAGGGGACCUUCGGGCCUUGCGCUAUCAGAUGAGCCUAGGUCGGAUUAGCUAGUUGGUGAGGUAAUGGCUCACCAAGGCGACGAUCCGUAACUGGUCUGAGAGGAUGAUCAGUCACACUGGAACUGAGACACGGUCCAGACUCCUACGGGAGGCAGCAGUGGGGAAUAUUGGACAAUGGGCGAAAGCCUGAUCCAGCCAUGCCGCGUGUGUGAAGAAGGUCUUCGGAUUGUAAAGCACUUUAAGUUGGGAGGAAGGGCAGUUACCUAAUACGUAUCUGUUUUGACGUUACCGACAGAAUAAGCACCGGCUAACUCUGUGCCAGCAGCCGCGGUAAUACAGAGGGUGCAAGCGUUAAUCGGAAUUACUGGGCGUAAAGCGCGCGUAGGUGGUUUGUUAAGUUGGAUGUGAAAUCCCCGGGCUCAACCUGGGAACUGCAUUCAAAACUGACAAGCUAGAGUAUGGUAGAGGGUGGUGGAAUUUCCUGUGUAGCGG
rnacentral:rRNA from 1 species